rnacentral:tRNA from 1 species
GCGGGGAUAGCUCAGUUGGGAGAGCGUCAGACUGAAGAUCUAAAGGUUGCGUGUUCGAUCCACGCUCACCGCA